rnacentral:rRNA from 1 species
GACGAACGCUGGCGGCGUGCUUAACACAUGCAAGUCGAACGGAAAGGCCCUGCUUUUGUGGGGUGCUCGAGUGGCGAACGGGUGAGUAACACGUGAGUAACCUGCCCUUGACUUUGGGAUAACUUCAGGAAACUGGGGCUAAUACCGGAUAGGUGCUCCUGCUGCAUGGUGGGGGUUGGAAAGUUUCGGCGGUUGGGGAUGGACUCGCGGCUUAUCAGCUUGUUGGUGGGGUAGUGGCUUACCAAGGCUUUGACGGGUAGCCGGCCUGAGAGGGUGACCGGCCACAUUGGGACUGAAAUACGGCCCAGACUCCUACGGGAGGCAGCAGUGGGGAAUAUUGCACAAUGGGCGGAAGCCUGAUGCAGCAACGCCGCGUGCGGGAUGACGGCCUUCGGGUUGUAAACCGCUUUCGCCUGUGACGAAGCGUGAGUGACGGUAAUGGGUAGAGAAGCACCGGCUAACUACGUG